rnacentral:ncRNA from 1 species
AGAACUAAAUAAAACGACCCUCAUAUAAUUCUCGGAAUAUGGCUGAGAAGUUUCUACCGAGUGACCGUAAAUCACUUGACUAUGAGUGGAUUUGUAAAGAAC